GGCAAUUUAGAGUGUCCAAUUAAUGUUGUAUCUUUUUGGAAUGUGGGAGGAAACCCACGCAGGCACGGGGAGAACAUGCAAACUCCACACACCGGGAUUGAACUUGGGACCUCAGAACUGUGAGGCCAAAGCUUCACCAGCCUGUAGCUGUUAACCAGGGUGAAGCGAUCGCUUCCUAUUCGACAUGAGACUAGUGGCAACAAGAAAAUGGACCACUGGAGCAAAGUGCUGACUGUGGAGUCUAAAACCGAAGCAUCCAGAUCAGAAGUUAAGGAACAGGUGGAGUUUGGUCUGGUGAGAGUGUCGAGGCUUGACACGGGGCGAGGCUGUGAUCACGAUCGGCCGCCAGCAUCUAUCGACGGGCAUGGCUUGAAAAAAGUGUAAGCAUGCAGAUAGGAACGAAAACUGUAUCAACAUGUCUAACCGAACGCAUACAAAAAGUGGACGUUCCCGGCAAAGUGCUGUGCACUCUGUGUUCCGAUGUGAUCAAUUAUGGAAGCCGAGGAGCAAAAAAUAUCCAGGAGCAUAUCCAAACCAGGAAACAAAGCCCUGUCUCCGUCACCCUCCUGUCUCGUUGCUCUUUUGUAAGCCCUACGCAUUUUUGGGGCGUAACGUGAUCCCCACUCCCCAUUUU